AACGAACGCUGGCGGCAUGCCUAACACAUGCAAGUCGAACGAGACCUUCGGGUCUAGUGGCGCACGGGUGCGUAACGCGUGGGAACCUGCCCUUAGGUUCGGAAUAACUCCCCGAAAGGGGUGCUAAUACCGGAUAAUGUCUUCGGACCAAAGAUUUAUCGCCUUUGGAUGGGCCCGCGUUGGAUUAGCUAGUUGGUAGGGUAAAAGCCUACCAAGGCGACGAUCCAUAGCUGGUCUGAGAGGAUGAUCAGCCACACUGGGACUGAGACACGGCCCAGACUCCUACGGGGAGGAGGAGGUGGGAAUAUUGGGCAAGGGGCCAAAACCCUAUCCCGCCAUGCCCGGGGAGAGGAUAAGGGCCUUGGGUUGUAAAGCCCCUUUUACCGGGGUGGUAAUGACAGUAACGGGAAAAUAAGCCCCGGCUAACUUCGGG
rnacentral:rRNA from 1 species